GGGUGCGAUCAUACCUGCACUAAUACACCGGAUCCCAUCAGAACUCUGAAGUUAAGCAUUCUUGGACGAAAGUAGCACUAGGAUGGGUGACCCCCUAGGAAGUCCUCGUAUUGCACCCC